CCGGGCUGUCAGUCUCCCCCCCAGGCUGUCAGUCUGGGGCCGGGAACAGGAACAUUCUCUGCCAGUUUUCACUGACGAGUCUCAUUUUUCUUAAACUGUAAAACCUGAUUGCAUUCUGUUUAUUCUGGAUUUUCCGGAUUAGUUUUACCAAAAGAUGUAAACAAGAUCACACCUAUCGCCUGUCUGGAGAAAGUCGUGUCAAGCUGCCAUCAUGGACUUCAGUAGGUGACUGAUGAUGUUGGAGUGUCCAUGGUGUUCAUGAGAACAUUCCAGAAUAAUGACUCAGUAAUAUGAAGGAACUGCAAUAUAAAUCAAGAAAGCAUUUACAUUUACACUGUUCCUUUCAUGGCCUCGGAAACAAAGAAUAAAGAAAAUUUGCAGCC